rnacentral:rRNA from 1 species
UGAGGAAUAUUGGACAAUGGGCGCAAGCCUGAUCCAGCCAUGCCGCGUGCAGGAUGACGGUCCUAUGGAUUGUAAACUGCUUUUGUACAGGAAGAAACAGUUCUACGUGUAGAACCUUGACGGUACUGUAAGAAUAAGGAUCGGCUAACUCCGUGCCAGCAGCCGCGGUAAUACGGAGGAUCCAAGCGUUAUCCGGAAUCAUUGGGUUUAAAGGGUCCGUAGGCGGUUAGAUAAGUCAGUGGUGAAAGCCCAUCGCUCAACGGUGGAACGGCCAUUGAUACUGUCUGACUUGAAUUAUUAGGAAGUAACUAGAAUAUGUAGUGUAGCGGUGAAAUGCUUAGAGAUUACAUGGAAUACCAAUUGCGAAGGCAGGUUACUACUAAUGGAUUGACGCUGAUGGACGAAAGCGUGGGUAGCGAACAGGAUUAGAUACCCAGGUAGUCCCUGAGCGGGCUGGCAAGGCGCAU